UACGAAGGGGGCUAGCGUUGCUCGGAAUCACUGGGCGUAAAGCGCACGUAGGCGGCUUCUUAAGUCAGGGGUGAAAUCCUGGAGCUCAACUCCAGAACUGCCUUUGAUACUGAGGAGCUUGAGUCCGGGAGAGGUGAGUGGAACUGCGAGUGUAGAGGUGAAAUUCGUAGAUAUUCGCAAGAACACCAGUGGCGAAGGCGGCGAUCUGGGUCGAUACUGACGCUGAGGUGCGAAAGCGUGGGGAGCAAACAGG
rnacentral:rRNA from 1 species